rnacentral:rRNA from 1 species
GAUUAACACUGACGGCAUGCCUAAUACAUGCAAGUCGAACGAGAGUCUUUUAUUAGACUCUAGUGGCGAACGGGUGAGUAACACGUACUUAACUUGCCCAUCAGAUAGGGACAACAACCCGAAAGGGAUGCUAAUACCAAAUAGGCAUUAUCUCAUAAGAGGUAAAUGUUAAAGGAGCCUUCAAGCUCCGCUGAUGGAUAGGAGUGCGUUGUAUUAGCUAGUUGGUGAGGUAAAGGCUCACCAAGGUUACGAUGCAUAACCGGUCUGAGAGGAUGAACGGUCACACUGGAAUUGAGAUACGGUCCAGACUCCUACGGGAGGCAGCAGUAGGGAAUCUUUCACAAUGGGCGAAAGCCUGAUGGAGCAAUGCCGUGUGCGCGAUGAAGGCCUUAGGGUUGUAAAGCGCUGUGGUUGGGGAGCAAAAAGUUGGAGUAGGAAAUGACUUCAAUUUGAUAGUACCCAUCUAGAAAGUCACUGCUAACUACGUGCCA